UUUCGUUUAUUGUUAAUGUUCCUAAUUAUUUUUUAUUAGAUUAAUUAUUUUUAUACGAAGACGUGUCAUUUUUUUUUGAAAGAGAGAUAGAUAGUAUGCUAUUCGUUUCAUUUAUUUUAUUUACAGAUAAAUUUAGCUAAAAAUGUGAAUCAACUAAGAAUUGAACUUGGGAUCUCGGAUCUCAACCACUAAGUCUUUUGCUACUUGCGCUAGGGACGAUCAGUAAGACAUGUCUUAAUAUUAAUAGAGAGAUGUCAGAUAUGUCUCUUCUCCCUAAGAGAGUGUCUUUUUAAUUUUUAUUUGUAAAGAAAUGCCACUGUUAAACAGAUUAUAUUCCUUCACAGUAACUAUUCAUAUCUUCUUAUACAUAAAUGUAUAACAUAAUGUUUUUCUUCGUUUUGUUGCAUCCUGCAGGUGCUUUGUCUAACUUAGGCUUACUUUGGUAUUGAGGUCUAUCUAACGCUAUUAGAUAAAAUGGAAUUGAAGAAAAAGCAUAUAAGAUAUGCUUUUGCGUUUUCCGGUGGGACCGCAGAAAAUAUAUUGUAACUGACUCGUCACGACGCGGAACGCAAUAUUACUUAUGAAAACAAACAGGGUAUUUUUCCAUCGUUUUUUUUCACCGCACGUAACGCAAUCUCCCCGCAAUCCCAAACGAAGCUUUAAUUAUUUUAGUGGGGACUAACAAUUUGAAUGUUUGACCCGAACGUAUGAACUGGAACUAGGCUUUGGGCCCGUCGAGGCCCAUCUUUUGGUCCACUUUCUUAAUAGGCUUUGGCAAGCAUGUUGGGCUAGUUGGCCCAGCUGGGUCGGACCGUUUGCUUUACGUUCAACCACAAAAACUACUUCAACUUAAACUUCAUAUUCGAUGAAACAAAUAAGUAUUUUAUAUUCAUGCGCAACGGCAUUUAUUUGAUCAUGCAAUAAUUUAUUUUAAUAUGUAGAUUGUACUUGAGUUUGAUUUGUUUUUGAGAGAUAGGUAGUAUGCUAUCCGUUUCGUUUAUUUCAUUUAGAAAUAAACUUAGCUGAAAAUGUGAAUGAACUAGGAUUCGAACUUAGGUCUCGGGUAUCAACCACCAAACCCUUUGCCACUUGCUCUAGGGACGGUCGGUUACUUGAGUUUGAUUUUGCUAGAGAAUUUUCGGUGUGUGAAAUUUUAUCUCGGUAUUGGAUAUUAAGAUGGUAAUUUAUAUUA
rnacentral:lncRNA from 1 species